GAUGAACGCUGGCGGCGUGCUUAACACAUGCAAGUCGAACGGUGAAGCAGGAGCUUGCUCUUGUGGAUCAGUGGCGAACGGGUGAGUAACACGUGAGCAACCUGCCCCUGACUCUGGGAUAAGCGCUGGAAACGGCGUCUAAUACUGGAUAUGUGAUGUGACCGCAUGGUCUGCAUCUGGAAAGAAUUUCGGUUGGGGAUGGGCUCGCGGCCUAUCAGCUUGUUGGUGAGGUAAUGGCUCACCAAGGCGUCGACGGGUAGCCGGCCUGAGAGGGUGACCGGCCACACUGGGACUGAGACACGGCCCAGACUCCUACGGGAGGCAGCAGUGGGGAAUAUUGCACAAUGGGCGGAAGCCUGAUGCAGCAACGCCGCGUGAGGGAUGACGGCCUUCGGGUUGUAAACUUCUUUUAUCUGGGACGAAAAAGGACCUUUCUAGGUCAACUGACGGUACCAGAGGAAUAAGCACCGGCUAACUCCGUGCCAGCAGCCGCCGUAA
rnacentral:rRNA from 1 species